rnacentral:rRNA from 1 species
CUUGCUUUUGAUUCGUUAGCGGCGGACGGGUGAGUAACACGUGGGCAACCUGCCCUGUAGACGGGGAUAACUCCGAGAAAUCGGUGCUAAUACCGGAUAACACGAAGUGUCGCAUGACGUUUCGUUGAAAGACGGCUCCAGCUGUCGCUACUGGAUGGGCCCGCGGCGCAUUAGCUAGUUGGUGAGGUAACGGCUCACCAAGGCGACGAUGCGUAGCCGACCUGAGAGGGUGAUCGGCCACACUGGGACUGAGACACGGCCCAGACUCCUACGGGAGGCAGCAGUAGGGAAUCUUCCGCAAUGGGACGAAAGUCUGACGGAGCAACGCCCCGUGAGCUGAAGAAGGCCUUCGGGUCGUAAAGCUCUGUUGUUUAGGGAAGAACAAGUAGCUCAUUAACUGGCGUUACCCCUGACAGUACCUAACAAGAAAGCCACGGCUAACUACAUGCCACCACCCGCGCGUAAUACCUAUGUGGGAAGCGUUGUCUGGAAUUAUUGGGCGUAAAGCGCGCGCACGCGGUUCCUUAUGUCUGAUGUGAAAGCCCACGGCUCACCCCUGGAGAGUCAUUGUGAAACUGGGGGACAUGAGUGCACAAAAGAAGAGCGGAAUUUUCCGUGUAGCGGUGAAAUGCGUAUAGAUGUGGAGGAACACCAGUGGCGAAAGCGGCUCUUUGGUCUGUGAACUGACACUGAGGCGCGAAAGCGUGUGGAGCAAACAGGAUUAGAUACCCUGGUAGUCCCCGCCCUAAACGAUAAGUGCGAUAUGUUAGAGAGGUAUCCCACCCUUUAGUGCUGUAACUAACGCAUUUAUGCACCUCCGCCUGGGGGAGUACGCUCGCAAAAGUGUAAACUCACAGGAGUUUGACGGGGGGGCCCCCACAAACGGUGGGAGCAUGUGGGUUUUAUUUUCAACAACGCGAAGAACCUUUCCAGGUCUUGACAUCCCCCUGACAACCCCAUAGAUCGGGGGUUUCCCCCUUUCGGGAGGAAAGGGUGACAAGUGGUGCAUGGUUGUCNCCACCUCGUGUCGAGAGAUUUUGGGUUUACUCC